CAGGGGCUCCUUCCUCGGGCCUGCGGCUCGUCCUCCCCCCCCCGCCCCGCUCCCGCCGCAGGCCCGCCCGGGAGCCGCGAUGCCGUUCCCCAGCUCCGGCGCGGACGAUGCCUUCGACUACCUGUUCAAGAUCAUCCUGAUCGGGGACUCCAACGUGGGGAAGACCUGCGUGGUGCACCGCUUCAAGACGGGGCAGUACAACGAGAAGCAGCAGAACACCAUCGGCGUCGACUUCACCGUGCGCUCGAUGGACAUCGACGGCAAGAAAGUAAAGAUCCAAGUGUGGGACACAGCUGGCCAAGAACGCUUCCGGACAAUAACCCAGUCUUAUUACAGGAGUGCCCAUGGGGCCAUCCUUGCCUAUGACCUUACUAGGAGGUCCACAUUUGAAUCCAUUCCUCAUUGGAUUCAUGAAAUUGAAAAGUAUGGUGCUGCAAACUUGGUCAUGAUGUUAAUUGGGAACAAAUCAGACUCACUGGAUAAGCGCCAGGUCCUGUUUGAAGACGCCUGCACGCUGGCAGAGAAGCACGGGCUCCUAGCUGUACUGGAGACAUCAGCAAAAGAAGCUCAAAACAUAGAAGAGGUGUUCAUGUUAAUGGCUAAGGAGCUAAUAGCCCGAAAUACCUUACAGCUUCAUGGAGAGAACCCUCCAAACAGCUUCUAUCUUGAUUCCAAGCCAGUGAUUGCCAGUCCAAGUGUGGAGAAGGCCCAGUGCCCCUGUUGAAGAGAAAUUUCAGGAAGAGCUUGGAAAUUGUCAUUCUUCUGAGGCUGUUUGAUGCAAUUGUAUUCAAUUGAUGAAAGUGUCCUCUCUGGCCUCAAGCCAUGUCUCUUGAUAUCUCUACCUUGGAGUUUGGCUUGUCUAACAGGCUUCCUUCUCCUCCUUCAAGAAACUAGUCUUAAACACCUCCCCAUUGUGCAACUAAACCAGGAGCAUGACCUCUUCUGGUUGGUUCUGUUUGGCAUCUUCCACACGGCCUUUGGGCAGUUACACUGAAUGGUUUCUGCAGGGACACUUUUCAAGCUGUCCUCGCCUGAAUGAAGAACAAGCUGCAGCAGUUGCUAACAAGGUUCUUCAGAGAGUAUACUGGUAAUGGUAUUAUUCAUGAGGUAAUACAUGAAGCCAUAAACUUUAAAAAAACCCCUUUACUGUGGCAUGUUAUUAUAGACUGUGAGAACCACUAGAUUAAAAUACAAACUCGGUGUAAUUUCUGCGGUUCUGCCUUUCCCCAUCAGAGAGCAGGUGGGAACACACAGCUGUGACAAGGCAAAGUGGCAUUAACUGCUACGGAACAUUCCAUUAAUGGUUUUGCUCCCCAGCAUCAUAUGCAAAUUCAGUGUGCUUCCUGACAGUAUCAUUAAUGCAUUUGUUCAAAGUAUAGCUUGUUUACACCACUAUUCUAAAAACUACUACUGUCCCUCAGGUUUCAGUUUUAAGAGCUGCACAUUCAGCUUGAAGAUGAGCUCAUUUGUUAAGUUUUUAUCUACUUGGAAGUGUUUCAAUCUUAGCUGUGGCACAUUACUUGCACUGCAGCCAUGCCAGAUGAGAUUGAAGCAGGACCUACCCAAUGAAACAGGAUAAUGAAAAAAAAAAAAGUAUUUUAAAAUGGAGCAAACUGACACCUCCCAGAAGCUGACUAGUUUGAAAGUCAACAUAACAGCAAGCCAGUGAAGUGGAAGGCAUAUAGCACUGCCUAUGUGGUCAGGCUUUGCUUCAUAUGCAGGAGACAGGCUCUUAAUUGCAAAAGCUGAGGUUCUUAUCUAAUCAUUCUAGUUAAUGUUUAAGUAUAGUUGGAAAGGAGACAGAGAAAGCAAUUUUCAGGUCCUGACAGAGGUGGAGAGCUCUAUCCUUGAGCCUUUUUUCAGGAAGGAGAUGCAUGCCUGUGCUUCUGGACAAGGAAUUGAAAGUGAAGCUUCCCCCCACCAGGUGAGUGCUCAAACGAAAGUGCUUUUAGGAGAUGCCCCUUCCAGCUGCGGGCUGCCAACAGGCAGCUUUUUCUGGGUCUCAGCUCUAAGAACACCACAUUUGGCUGGAGGUGUGUGUGUGGGGGGGCUUAAAUAGUCAUUGCUCAACGUACUGACUCCCGAAAUAAUUUUCAAGCACCACUCUCAUGCAAUUGUAUUAGGAACUGGAACAGGCAAUGCUGGGAUAUGGGAGCCCUUUGAGAAUAGUUUUAGACAUGCCCAGAGCUCCUUUUUCCUAAGAAUACUUCACCUUGUAAUAGGAAUGUGCAGUUUGAGAUGGGUCGGACUUUUAAAUAUUUUUUGAAGUAUUUUUCUUAUGCUGUUCUUCUAAAAAUCAGCACUCAGGUGCCUGCACAACCUCUGUCAAUGCAGUCACAUCAAGCUGUUGACUCUGGCUUGACAGCAAGUGACAAACAGCACAUCUAUAUAUAACAGGGCAGGAGCUUAGCAUAUUUGGAGUCCUGCAUUUCCUUGCUACUGCUGUGCCCAUGAAUAUCACUGCUUAUACAGUUUUCUCUGCUAAGUCUAGUUUUGCUAACCUGAAGUGAGGCUCACCACAACUAUAGUUUAAUAAUGUCUCUCUAAUGCUUGCAUUAAACUGACUUUGUAGCUACUUGAUCCCUGCAGUGAAGUCCUGUAUUGUAUCUCGAUCCCAGGGGAUUACAUGGGGGCUCUCCUUUUAAACUGCUGCAGCAUUGAUAAUUUCAGCUACACAAGUUUUGUUCCAAACCUGAGACACCCCAUAAGUUUCCUGCUAAGGCAAGGUGAGCUACUCUGUAUUUCAUUACAUGCAUCAGGCAUCCCCUCAAAGAUUACAAUCCACCUUGGGCUACAGUCAAAGGCAAGCUGUGCUACCACCAUUUGAACUGAAGCAGCAGAGGUUUUAACAAGUACUCUUAGCUUGUAUCAUCCCAUUCAGAGCAGUGAGAACGGGCAGCACACAUACUCUGCACUUACCACAAGAGGCAAAGUUCUGUAUCAAACUAAAUGUAUAUAUCCUGGCCUAGGGAGUAAAGUCAAGGCCCUUGAAGUGAGAGCAUGCAUCUUUUCCUGAAGAUUUUUGUUUUGAAAUCAAGACUUUGCUGGUAGGUUAUGGAGACUUGAUACCUUUUCAUCUUGACAUUACUCUGAUUGGCCUCUUCAGUUUCUGUACCUUAGGUAUGUGCUUGAAGAAAACAUAGCACAGCCUAAGUUGUCACCCUCCAUCUUUUUACAUUAAAACUUUGCCUUAUUUCUA